rnacentral:rRNA from 1 species
UACGUAGGGUGCGAGCGUUAAUCGGAAUUCUGGGCGUAAAGCGUGCGCAGGCGGUCUGUUAGACCGAUGUGAAAUCCCCGGGCUUAACCUGGGAACUGCAUUGGUGACUGGCAGGCUUUGAGUGUGGCAGAGGGAGGUAGAAUUCCACGUGUAGCAGUGAAAUGCGUAGAGAUGUGGAGGAAUACCGAUGGCGAAGGCAGCCUCCUGGGCCAACACUGACGCUCAUGCACGAAAGCGUGGGGAGCAAACAGGA